rnacentral:rRNA from 1 species
GGGGUUACAGCCUUGCUGAAUUAUUCACCCUUGUCUUUUGCGUACUUCUUGUUUCCUUGGUGGGUUCGCCCACCACUAGGACAAACAUAAACCUUUUGUAAUUGCAAUCAGCGUCAGUAACAAAUUAAUAAUUACAACUUUCAACAACGGAUCUCUUGGUUCUGGCAUCGAUGAAGAACGCAGCGAAAUGCGAUAAGUAGUGUGAAUUGCAGAAUUCAGUGAAUCAUCGAAUCUUUGAACGCACAUUGCGCCCUUUGGUAUUCCAAAGGGCAUGCCUGUUCGAGCGUCAUUUGUACCCUCAAGCUUUGCUUGGUGUUGGGCGUCUUGUCUCUAGCUUUGCUGGAGACUCGCCUUAAAGUAAUUGGCAGCCGGCCUACUGGUUUCGGAGCGCAGCACAAGUCGCACUCUCUAUCAGCAAAGGUCUAGCAUCCAUUAAGCCUUUUUUUCAACUUUUGACCUCGGAUCAGGUAGGGAUACCCGCUGAACUUAAGCAUAUCAAUAAGCGGAGG